GGGUUUGAUUGAGGUUAUAUAUGAGCUUAAUACAGAGACAGGUACAGUGAGACAGGUACACAGUGAGACAGGUACACAGUGAGACAGGUGCACAGUGAGACAGGUACACAGUGAGACAGGUGCACAGUGAGACAGGUACACAGUGAGACAGGUACAGUGAGACAGGUACACAGUGAGACAGGUACAGUGAGACAGGUGCACAGUGAGACAGGUGCGCAGUGAGACAGGUACAGUGAGACAGGUACACAGUGAGACAGGUACACAGUGAGACAGGUGCACAGUGAGACAGGU